rnacentral:tRNA from 1 species
GGGGAUUUAGCUCAGCGGUAGAGCGCUUGCCUAGCGAGCGAGCGAGCGAGCGAGCGCAAGGCCCUGGGUUCGGUCCCCA